rnacentral:rRNA from 1 species
CACGUAGGGCGCAAGCGUUGUCCGGAAUUAUUGGGCGUAAAGAGCUCGUAGGCGGACUGUCACGUCUGCUGUGAAAAGCUGGGGCUUAACCCUGGCCUUGCAGUGGAUACGGGCAGACUAGAGGUAGGUAGGGGAGAAUGGAAUUCCCGGUGUAGCGGUGAAAUGCGCAGAUAUCGGGAGGAACACCGGUGGCGAAGGCGGUUCUCUGGAACGGUACUGACGCUGAGACGCGAAAGCGUGGGGAGCGAACAGG